rnacentral:rRNA from 1 species
GAGUUUGAUCGUGGCUCAGGAUGAACGCUGGCGGCGUGCCUAAUACAUGCAAGUCGAGCGAACGGACGAGAAGCUUGCUUCUCUGAUGUUAGCGGCGGACGGGUGAGUAACACGUGGAUAACCUACCUAUAAGACUGGGAUAACUUCGGGAAACCGGAGCUAAUACCGGAUAAUAUUUUGAACCGCAUGGUUCAAAAGUGAAAGACGGUCUUGCUGUCACUUAUAGAUGGAUCCGCGCUGCAUUAGCUAGUUGGUAAGGUAACGGCUUACCAAGGCAACGAUGCAUAGCCGACCUGAGAGGGUGAUCGGCCACACUGGAACUGAGACACGGUCCAGACUCCUACGGGAGGCAGCAGUAGGGAAUCUUCCGCAAUGGGCGAAAAGCCUGACGGAGCAACGCCGCGUGAGUGAUGAAGGUCUUCGGAUCGUAAAACUCUGUUAUCAGGGAGAACAUAUGUGUAAGUAACUGUGCACAUCUUGACGGUACCUAAUCAGAAAGCCACGGCUAACUACG